AAGUUCCACGGUCUAGAAUUUGAGACUCUCUCUGCGCCAACUCACAUUUACGUCCCACUAACUCCUGGAAAUCCACCUCAGCUGUCAUCUCCUCCAGAAGCCUCCUGGUCCCCCAGCUCGCCUCUGAACACUGUCGUCUGAAGACCCACUGGCGCGUUUCUGGUUCUGUCCUGUACUGCGGUGAUCUGUGUGCCUGCACCAGGGCCUCUUUGUUUGUUGAAGAGUUCCUGUGCUGAUUUCCAUACUGAUCGUACUAGUUUACCUUCACACCAACAAGGUUGUCUCGUCACUCUGCUGAUUGUCUUCUUUACUGAGCAGAAGUUUCUUAAUUUGAUCUGAACUUGCAUGAUGCAAAAAAAAAAGACUAUCAGAGCCAGCGCUGGUGUAGCAAAUUGAGUGAGUUACUUUGAAGUUCAUACUAAGGGGCACUUUGUGUAACUCUAAGAGUCAAAGGAAGUUAUAGGAAAAGGGAAAAGAGAAAGAAAAUGGGAAUUGAAAAGAAGAGGUGCUGUGUAGCAUGACAGUAAGGAGACGAGUGGCUCAGGAUGCAUAUAGUGAAGACAACCUGAAUAAGACCCUGACAGGCCACCUGUGUGAUGAAACGACCUCCACCACCCACGAUCUCUGGGCGCUCAUGGAAGAUGAAUGUAAGUAACUGGAGAGUGCUCCUGAACACCGGGAAUGAAAACAUCCAUUGUCAGGGUUCAAAGCAGCCCUGCUCUCAGCUAGUCUUUGGAGAAGUGGACAAGAGAAGAGAAUAUUUUACUAUGAGCUGGACAGAAUGAUAAGUCACAGACAUCUCUGGGCCAGUGGUUCUCAGUGAACACCUUCAAGAUGGCAGGGACCUGAGAUGAGCCCUGGAUCCCGGAGCAAAGGGACCCUGAGCUGCUCCGGAGUGCUGGGAUUACUGGUGUGCGCCCCCACACCCGCCUUCUGUGACCUUGCUUCUAUUACUCCAAUAUGGAUGUGGCCCCUCAAUAAAAAUAAA